GAGACACCCUUAUGGGGCAAGGCUUGCUUCAGUGGGGCUUUGGUGCAUCACUGAGUCUGCCCCCUGAGUGUGUCCCU
rnacentral:pre_miRNA from 1 species